CUUAACACAUGCAAGUCGAGGGGCAUCAGGAAGAAAGCUUGCUUUCUUUGCUGGCGACCGGCGCACGGGUGAGUAACACGUAUCCAACCUGCCCUUUACUCGGGGAUAGCCUUUCGAAAGAAAGAUUAAUACCCGAUAGCAUAAUGAUUCCGCAUGGUUUCAUUAUUAAAGGAUUCCGGUAAAGGAUAGGGAUGCGCUCCAUUAGGUUGUUGGUGAGGUAACGGCCCACCAAGCCUUCGAUGGAUAGGGGUUCUGAGAGGAAGGUCCCCCACAUUGGAACUGAGACACGGUCCAAACUCCUACGGGAGGCAGCAGUGAGGAAUAUUGGUCAAUGGGCGCUAGCCUGAACCAGCCAAGUAGCGUGAAGGAUGAAGGCUCUAUGGGUCGUAAACUUCUUUUAUAUAAGAAUAAAGUGCAGUAUGUAUACUGUUUUGUAUGUAUUAUACGAAUAAGGAUCGGCUAACUCCGUGCCAGCAGCCGCGGUAAUACGGAGGAUCCGAGCGUUAUCCGGAUUUAUUGGGUUUAAAGGGAGCGUAGGUGGACUGGUAAGUCAGUUGUGAAAGUUUGCGGCUCAACCGUAAAAUUGCAGUUGAUACUGUCAGUCUUGAGUACAGUAGAGGUGGGCGGAAUUCGUGGUGUAGCGGUGAAAUGCUUAGAUAUCACGAAGAACUCCGAUUGCGAAGGCAGCUCACUGGACUGCAACUGACACUGAUGCUCGAAAGUGUGGGUAUCAAACAGGAUUAGAUACCCUGGUAGUCCACACAGUAAACGAUGAAUACUCGCUGUUUGCGAUAUACAGUAAGCGGCCAAGCGAAAGCAUUAAGUAUUCCACCUGGGGAGUACGCCGGCAACGGUGAAACUCAAAGGAAUUGACGGGGGCCCGCACAAGCGGAGGAACAUGUGGUUUAAUUCGAUGAUACGCGAGGAACCUUACCCGGGCUUAAAUUGCAGUGGAAUGAUGUGGAAACAUGUCAGUGAGCAAUCACCGCUGUGAAGGUGCUGCAUGGUUGUCGUCAGCUCGUGCCGUGAGGUGUCGGCUUAAGUGCCAUAACGAGCGCAACCCUUAUCUUUAGUUACUAACAGGUUAUGCUGAGGACUCUAGAGAGACUGCCGUCGUAAGAUGUGAGGAAGGUGGGGAUGACGUCAAAUCAGCACGGCCCUUACGUCCGGGGCUACACACGUGUUACAAUGGGGGGUACAGAAGGCAGCUAGCGGGUGACCGUAUGCUAAUCCCAAAAUCCUCUCUCAGUUCGGAUCGAAGUCUGCAACCCGACUUCGUGAAGCUGGAUUCGCUAGUAAUCGCGCAUCAGCCACGGCGCGGUGAAUACGUUCCCGGGCCUUGUACACACCGCCCGUCAAGCCAUGGGAGCCGGGGGUACCUGAAGUACGUAACCGCAAGGAUCGUCCUAGGGUAAAACUGGUGACUGGGGCUAAGUC
rnacentral:rRNA from 1 species